UACGUAGGGUGCGAGCGUUGCUCGGAAUUAUUGGGCGUCAAGGGUCGGUAGGUGGUCUCAUUUGUCCGGGGUGAAAGCCUUGAGCUUAACUCAAGAAGUGCCCCGGAAACGGUGAGACUCGAGUACUGGAGAGGGUCGUGGAAUUCCCGGUGUAGCGGUGAAAUGCGUAGAGAUCGGGAGGAACACCAGAGGCGAAGGCGGCGACCUGGACAGUUACUGACACUCAACUACGAAAGCGUGGGGAGCAAACAGG
rnacentral:rRNA from 1 species